CGCAAGUCCCAGACGCUGCCCAUGGAGGCGUCCAGCGAGCCGCCGCUGGAUGCUAAGUCCGAUGUCACCAACCAGUAUUAAAAUGAAGAUACUUUAUGUAAAUAUGACCAGCGUUGAAACUAAAAGUUGAGUGUAACUGCAGUAAAAUUGAAUAAAUAUCUGCAUUCCAGAAUUUCUACAGACAGUUCAAGGAAAUUGCUGCAGUUAUUGAAACGGUGUGAAGACGGAUUCUUUGGUUGAUAAAUUGCUAUCAUUCUAAAGUCAUGGACUUCACUUUCGGCAACAAAACUAAAUAAGGAUGGAACAUUUAUUGAAUGAAAAAUGCACUUUUGUUUUUCCAUUUUUUUAAAUAAUAAAAAUCAGACAAACAGGAA
rnacentral:lncRNA from 1 species